GACGAACGCUGGCGGCGUGCCUAAUACAUGCAAGUUGAGCGCUGAAGGUUGGUACUUGUCCCGACUGGAUGAGCAGCGAACGGGUGAGUAACGCGUGGGGAAUCUGCCUUUGAGCGGGGGACAACAUUUGGAAACGAAUGCUAAUACCGCAUAAAAACUUUAAACACAAGUUUUAAGUUUGAAAGAUGCAAUUGCAUCACUCAAAGAUGAUCCCGCGUUGUAUUAGCUAGUUGGUGAGGUAAAGGCUCACCAAGGCGAUGAUACAUAGCCGACCUGAGAGGGUGAUCGGCCACAUUGGGACUGAGACACGGCCCAAACUCCUACGGGAGGCAGCAGUAGGGAAUCUUCGGCAAUGGACGAAAGUCUGACCGAGCAACGCCGCGGGAGUGAAGAAGGGUGUCGGAUCGUAAAACUCUGUUGGUAGAGAAGAACGUUGGUGAGAGUGGAAAGCUCAUCAAGUGACGGUAACUACCCAGAAAGGGACGGCUAACUACGUG
rnacentral:rRNA from 1 species